GCGGUGGGGAUCUGGCACUGUUUUUCCUGCUUGAAAAUGGUAGCAGGUGGUGCCUGGACCAGUAACACCACUUCUGCCGUCACAGUGAAGUCCGCC
rnacentral:miRNA from 14 species